rnacentral:sRNA from 1 species
AGUGCAGGUACAUUAGAGCAGAGGUGUGCAGUGGGUCUGUAGUGCAGGUAUAUUAGUGCAGAGGUGUGCAGUGGGUCUGGGAGUGCAGGUAUAUUCAGAGAGCAGUGGUGUGCAGUGGGCCUGUGAGUGCAGGUACAUUAAUGCAGAAGUGCGCAGUGGGCCUUGGGUGCAGGUAUAUUAGUGCAGGGGUGUGCAGUGGGCCUGUGAGUGCAGGUACAUUAGUGCAGACGUGUUCUGUGGUCCUGUGAGUGCAGGUAUAUUAGUGCAGAAAUAUGCAGGGGGCCUGUGAGUGCAGGUACAUUAGUGCAGAGGGGUGCAGUGGGCCUGUCUGUGUAGGUACAUUAGUGCAGCGGUGUGCAGUGGGCCUGUUAGUGCAGGUACAUUAGUGCAGAAGAAUGCAGUGGGCCUGCGAGUGCAGGCACAUUAGUGCAGAGUUAUGCACUGUGACUGUGCGUGCAGGUACAUUAGUGCAGAGGUCUGCAUUGGGCCUGUGAUACAGGUUCCUAAGUGCAGAGGUGAGUAGUGGGAUUGUUAGUGCAGUCACAUUAGUGCAAAGUGUGCAGUCGGCCCUGUGAGUGCAGUACAUUAUGCAGAAGUGGUGCAGUGCUCCUGUGAGUGCAGGUAUAUUAGUGCAGAGGUGUGCAGUGCUCCUGUGAGUGCAAGUAUAUUAGUGCAGAGGGGUGCAGUGGUGCUGUGAGUGAAGGUACUUUAGUGCAGAGGUGUCCAGUGGGUCUGUAGAGCAGGUAUAUUAGUGCACAGGUGUGCACUGAGACUGUCUUGCAGGUACAUUAUUGCAGAGGAGUGCAGAGGGUCUGUAGUGCAGGUACAUUAAUGCAAGGUGGCAGUGGGCCUGUGUGUGCAGGUACAUGAGUGCAGAGCUUUGCCGUGGUCUGUGAGUGCAGGCAUAUUAGUGCAGAGGUGAGCAGUGGGCCUGUGCGUGCAAGCACAUUAGUGCAGAGGGGUGCAGUGCGCCUAUGAGUGCAGUACAUUAGUGCAGAGGUGUGCAGUGGGCCUCCCAGUUCAGGUAUAUUAUUGCAGAUAUGUGCAGUGGGCCUGUGAGGGCAGGUUCAUUAGUGCAGACAUGUGCAGUGGUCCUGUGAGUGCAGGUACAUUAGUGCAGAAGUGUGCAGUGGGGCUGUGAGUGCAGGCACAAUUAGUGGAGAGGUGUCCUUUGGGGCUGUGAGUGCAGGUUUUUAGUGCAGAGGUGUGCAGUGGGCCUCGAGUGCAGGUACAUUACUGCAGAGAUGUGCAGUGGCCUUUGAUGACAGGUAUAUUAGUGCAGAGGAAGGCACGGGGCUUGUGAGUGCAGGUACUAUAGUGCAGAGGUGUGCAGUGGGCCUUGAGCGGAGGUUCAUUAGUGCAG